CCCCUGUCUGUAUCACUGUGGGUCCCCUAUCUCCAAUACAUGGCUUCCAAAAUUGAUACGAGGUCGUUUCCAUCUUUAUUCCAGCCAUGUCAAAUGGGGAAAUGAGUAUGGAGAAUUUUGAGGGGAAGGACAUUGAGGCGGAAGGACACUGAUUUUAGGGGCAAGGCUGGACAUCCCAUAUGUCAAUUUAAUCCACAUUCCAGUGACCAGAAUUCACAUAGCAGUUUCUGCCACUAAGGACAUGAAUGAAAAAAUUUAAGCAAACUAAAGGACCAGUUAGCAAAACUUCC
rnacentral:lncRNA from 1 species